UACGAAGGGGGCGAGCGUUGUUCGGAUUUACUGGGCGUAAAGGGCGCGUAGGCGGCCUUCUAAGUCAGACGUGAAAUCCCCCGGCUUAACCUGGGAACUGCGUCUGAUACUGGGGGGCUUGAGUAUGGGAGAGGGAUGUAGAAUUCCAGGUGUAGCGGUGAAAUGCGUAGAUAUCUGGAGGAAUACCGGUGGCGAAGGCGGCAUCCUGGACCAUAACUGACGCUGAGGCGCGAAAGCUAGGGGAGCAAACGGGA
rnacentral:rRNA from 1 species